rnacentral:rRNA from 1 species
AUACGGAGGAUCCGAGCGUUAUCCGGAUUUAUUGGGUUUAAAGGGUGCUCAGGCGGGGGAUUAAGUCGGCGGUGAAAUUUUGCGGCUCAACCGUAAAAGUGCCUUCGAAACUGGUUUCCUUGAGUGUGGAUGAGGUAGGCGGAAUUUGUGGUGUAGCGGUGAAAUGCAUAGAUAUCACGAGGAACUCCGAUUGCGCAGGCAGCUUACCAGGCCAUAACUGACGCUCAAGCACGAAGGCGUGGGGAUCAAACAGGAUUAGAUACCCUGGUAGUCCACGCAGUAAACGAUGAUUACUGGCUGUUUGCGAUACAAUGUAAGCGGCUGAGCGAAAGCGUUAAGUAAUCCACCUGGGGAGUACGUUCGCAAGAAUGAAACUCAAAUGAAUUGGCGGGG